GGCUCAGGAUGAACGCUGGCGGCGUGCUUAACACAUGCAAGUCGAACGAAGAGGAUAAGAAAGAGCGCUUCGGCAGGAUUUUUUUAUUAACUUAGUGGCGGACUGGUGAGUAACGCGUGAGUAAUCUGCCUAUCACAGGGGGAUAACAGAGGGAAACUUCUGCUAAUACCGCAUAAGACCACAGGAUGGCAUCAUCAAGGGGUCAAAGGUUAGAUCUGGUGAUAGAUGAGCUUGCGUAUCAUUAGCUAGUUGGUGAGGGUAAAGGCCCACCAAGGCGACGAUGAUUAGCCGAUCUGAGAGGAUGACCGGCCACACUGGGACUGAGAUACGGCCCAGACUCCUACGGGAGGCAGCAGUUAGGAAUAUUGGGCAAUGGAGGAAACUCUGACCCAGCAACGCCGCGUGAAGGAAGAAGGUUUUCGGACUGUAAACUUCUGAUCUAAGGGAAAAAGAAAGUGAUGGUACCUUAGGAGAAAGCCACGGCUAACUACGUGCCAGCAGCCGCGGUAA
rnacentral:rRNA from 1 species